rnacentral:rRNA from 1 species
UACGGGGGGGGCAAGCGUUGUUCGGAAUUACUGGGCGUAAAGGGCUCGUAGGUGGCCAACUAAGUCAGACGUGAAAUCCCUCGGCUUAACCGGGGAACUGCGUCUGAUACUGGAUGGCUUGAGAUUGGGAGAGGGAUGCGGAAUUCCAGGUGUAGCGGUGAAAUGCGUAGAUAUCGAGAGGAACACCUGCGGCGAAGGCGGGUUGCUGGGCCGACACUGACGCUGAUGCGCGAAAGCCAGGGGAGCGAACGGG